rnacentral:rRNA from 1 species
CCUACGGGAGGCAGCAGUAGGGAAUCUUCCACAAUGGGCGAAAGCCUGAUGGAGCAACGCCGCGUGAGUGAUGAAGGCCUUCGGGUUGUAAAACUCUGUCAUUCGGGACGAACCGGAGUCUGAGGAAAUGCAGACUCUCUGACGGUACCGGAGGAGGAAGCCCCGGCUAACUACGUGCCAGCAGCCGCGGUAAUACGUAGGGGGCAAGCGUUGUCCGGAUUCACUGGGCGUAAAGCGCGCGCAGGCGGUGAUGUAAGUCUGAGGUGAAAACCCGAAGCUCAACUUCGGGACUGCCUUGGAUACUGCGUCACUUGAGGAUAGGAGGGGCAAGGGGAAUUCCACGUGUAGCGGUGAAAUGCGUAGAGAUGUGGAGGAACACCUGUGGCGAAGGCGCCUUGCUGGCCUAUUUCUGACGCUGAGGCGCGAAAGCGUGGGGAGCAAACAGGAUUAGAUACCCUGGUAGUCCACGCUGUAAACGAUGAGUGCUAGGUGUAGGUGGGCUCAUACCCAUCUGUGCCGAAGCUAACGCAUUAAGCNCNCCGCCGNGGAGGUACGGUCGCGAGACGUAGAACGUACGAAGGAAGUUAGACGGACGUUGAGACGUUGGCCGACGGACGACGACGAGGGGAGGUAGGG